rnacentral:lncRNA from 1 species
AUGUAUAAUUAUGCUGUCUUUUCUGCGACAUGCGUGCUCCUAUUCAAGCUGAGUAGUUUACACAAGGUGAAUAAAAAGGGAAUGACGGCGUAUGACGUGGACUUCGGUGCAAACACAGUUUUCCUUGAGCUUCACCGCAUCCCGGGAGCAGCAGCUGGAUUCAAAGUCCGCCAACAAACAGCCAGAGGCAGCAGUCCAGGCAGGACAGCAGGCUGGGCACCUUGCUCGUUUCAUCCUUGUUCUUCCUCUGGACUCAGGGGGCCAGGUAUUAGUCGAUGUUGGAAGCAGUCUGAAAAACACAUUUUCUGGCUAGGAAAUAAAAGUAAAGGAUUCGCUUUCCAUGAGAAUUUCAAUUUUAUAACCUCCCACAUUAAUGUUUCGUGAUUUAAACUUGUGAGAUGCUUCCAUUAACUGGAAAAACAAUCAUCUGUGAUAACUUUCCUGAUCCUUCUGAUAUGUGGGAAAUCACUGAAACGAUUGGCAAAGGAACUUACUGGAAUGUUUUUAAAGUGUUGAAUAAGAAAAAUAGCCAAAAAGCAGCAGUGAAAAUUCUGGACCCGAUUCAUGUAUGUCACGUUGUUUUUCCUUUUUUUUUCCUUUUUUUUUGUUCCUGAUUAACUUCAUUUUUAUUUGUACUAAACAGUUAAAAAGUCUGUAGGUAACUUGAUUUAUUGUCACAAUGUCAACUACAGUAAUGUAAAUGUAGAAAAUGUAAAAAAUGUAAAAAUGUAAAAAAAUGUAAAUGUAAAUGAAAUGAAAUGUAAAAUAUAAAUGUAAAUGUAAAAUGUAAAAAAAUGUAAAAAAUGUAAAAUGUAAAAAUGUAAAAUGUAAAAUGUAAAAAAAUGAAAAUGUAAAAAAAAGUGUAUUUGUUAGGUUUUUCUUCUUAUAUACUUAAUAUAUACAAUAGAGACCAAUAAAUAUUUAAUAAUUGAGCA